CUUACCAGGACUUGACAUCUCGGGAAUCCUCCAGAAAUGGGGGAGUUCCGUUAGGAACCCGAUGACAGGUGUUGCAUGGUUGUCGUCAGCUCGUGCCUUGAGGCGUACUGUUAAGUCAGGAAACGAGCGCAACCCUCAUCGUAUGUUGCUUAUUUCAUGCGAGACUGCCGACUCCAAGUCGGAGGAAGGUGAGGAUGACGUCAAAUCAGCAUGGCCCUUAUGUCCUGGGCUACACACGUGCUACAAUGGCCGAAACAAAGGGUAGCAAAGCCGGAAGGCGGAGCCAAUCCCAUCAAAAUCGGUCUCAGUUCGGAUUGAGGGCUGCAACUCGCCCUCAUGAAGUUGGAAUCGCUAGUAAUCGUGAAUCAUCACGUCACGGUGAAUAUGUUCCUAGGUCUUGUACUCACCGCCCGUCAAGUCAUGGAAGAUAGGAGCACUCGAAGUCCCACAAUAAAGUGGGCCUAAGGUGAAACUAUUGACUGGGACUAAGUCGUAACAAGGUAAC
rnacentral:rRNA from 1 species